rnacentral:rRNA from 1 species
GACGAACGCUGGCGGCGUGCUUAACACAUGCAAGUCGAACGGAAAGGCCCUGCUUGCCGGGUACUCGAGUGGCGAACGGGUGAGUAACACGUGGGUGAUCUGCCCUGCACUUCGGGAUAAGCUUGGGAAACUGGGUCUAAUACCGGAUAGGAGCCAUCUUUAGUGUGGUGGUUGGAAAGUUUUUUCGGUGUAGGAUGAGCUCGCGGCCUAUCAGCUUGUUGGUGGGGUAAUGGCCUACCAAGGCGGCGACGGGUAGCCGGCCUGAGAGGGUGUACGGCCACAUUGGGACUGAGAUACGGCCCAGACUCCUACGGGAGGCAGCAGUGGGGAAUAUUGCACAAUGGGCGCAAGCCUGAUGCAGCGACGCCGCGUGGGGGAUGAAGGCCUUCGGGUUGUAAACUCCUGUCGCUAGGGACGAAGCUUUGUUGUGACGGUACCUAGAUAAGAAGCACCGGCUAACUACGUG